GAAAGUCAGUGGCGGACGGGUGAGUAACGCGUGAGCAACCUGCCUUUGCGAGGGGAAUAACACAGAGAAAUCUGUGCUAAUACCGCAGUGACGCACCGAGGUCACAUGGCCAUGGUGUUAAAGGAGCAAUCCGCGCAAAGAUGGGCUCGCGUCUGAUUAGAUAGUUGGCGGGGUAACGGCCCACCAAGUCGACGAUCAGUAGCCGGACUGAGAGGUUGAACGGCCACAUUGGAACUGAGAAACGGUCCAGACUCCUACGGGAGGCAGCAGUGGGGAAUAUUGGGCAAUGGGCGAAAGCCUGACCCAGCCGACGCCGCGUGAGUGAAGAAGGUCUUCGGAUUGUAAAGCUCUGUUGACAGGGAAGAAGAAAGUGACGGUACCUGUCGAGGAAGCCACGGCUAACUACGUGCCAGCAGCCGC
rnacentral:rRNA from 1 species